CAAUUUUAAUUUUAACUGUAAUUUCAAAUUUUAUUUGAUACGAUAUUUUAAUUGAAUUUUGCCGCCGACUUCGGAUCGGAGUAUGGGCAUCACCCGCUAGGGGCGCUGAAACUCGUCUCUUAACAUUGGCUCUUAUGAGCCGCUUCUCCUCUAACCUAUAUUCUGUGAGUUCGACUUCGAAGUGCUUCGAAACCCGCGUUGAAGUUGAAAAGAAUACUCCCAGGCACUUAUUCCAGAAAACUUGUGAAACUGACGACGAUAUUGGCGAAAAAUCAGGUUGCUGGAUAGACCGAAGCAAAAAGGACAUGGCUACUUCGAGGCUCCCAUACCUUCAGGAUUAAGCGCAUAAGAUCAUCGAUAAAUUCUUUCGUGGCAAAUCUAGUUCACCUGGGUGAAUACUGAAUAGUAAACGACUAAGCAACAGGAAAACCCGAUUUCUAUUCUCGAAAUGCUCGAAUCUGCAACUGGAUUCCUUCGAAUGCGUAAUAACGCAGUUGUGACUCGUUAAAAGCUAUUACAAGAGCGUGAGCGUGGCCUUCGGAUCUUAUCUGCGAUCGAAUCUACUAAGGAUCUGGAGGAACGACGGUGUUAUAAAAUGGAACGAUCUAUAGCCUCAACCGGGGCCAUUACACGACCCAAUAAAACAGCUCUGGCAACCUGUUACCGGUUACCGGAUUAUUUCGUGAAUAAAACGGCGAGCGUCGCGUGCGUGCCCGUCGCUCACCUUCUUUGUACACGGUGAAGACAGAGAGAAACGAGCGAAAGAGGAAAUCCAGAGGGAGAGGGACGAGGAAAAAAGACGGAUAGGUCACCGACCGGUUGUCACUGACAAUUCCGUCGUGCGAUAGACAGGUCCUAAAAUAUUUUAGGUAGCCAGGCCAGUCGGACUGACCGAAUUUCACGAAAACCUCAGGUUCCGUUGGGGUUAGUCAUCGAGGAUUCUUGCCCAGCACGAAUUCCACGACAUUGUUCCUUUCUGACGUUUUUCUGCCUUGGUGAAUCAGCGGAUUGAAUCAGAGCAGGCGGAACGAUUAAGCGGUAAUGGACGAGGAAUCCUUCUUGGAGCGAGUAAGGGUGUUCGAAGGAAUUAAUUCGCCUCGGUGCGCGGAAGGGUCACGAGCGAAUUCCAGGAAUUUCAUCCCCACUCCCACUCGCAAUCGUCGCGUCCUCGGUAACCGACCGAUGGUUUCCCUGAUUAAUUCAUCAAACGGUGUCGAGGGGUGGCAGACGUCGAGUUCGUCCCUUCAGGAAGAGCCGCAAGCCCAUCUCGGAUACUUUAUGGCGAUUCCAGCUGACAAACCGGUGGGAAACUCGGGACACUGGACCAACGGUUCCACGUGACAUUAGGCAAUAAUUAACCAGCUUCGUCGAACAUCAAACGUAGCACUCUCCGUUUCCACCAGCGAAGAUUCCGUCAUCCGGUGCGAUGUCAACGGCCUGAGUUUCGUCACGUUUUGGGGAAUCGUGUCUGUUUGUCCUCGGCGUGUCCACAGAGGCUUCCACUCGAAGAGGAAAGACAACGAGGGACCUGUGACAGUUGUUUCCUGGACCACUUCCCCGACAACUGGUGAAUCAAUGCCGGAUUCGGCUGGACGAGGAGGAACGAAGAUCUCGGCUGAGUUUCGGAGCUGAUUAGGAGGAAUCGGGGAAAGAUGGGAACAAUGCGCCUGCUUGAUCCCUUUUUCUAGGAAUUUAGUCUGGGACCUUGGCAGUGCUAAUAUGUAGAAACAUUUUGGGAAAAUGUAGCCUGUUAAAUAUCGUGUACGUACAUUUUUCUAACAUCUUAAAGCAUUCCACUUCUAACGCUCUCAGCCCUUUCCACCGAGAAAGGUUCGCCUUAUCAGCGAUCAACUUUCUCCGUAAGACGCUUGCCCUGUAAAAGUUAAUGGACCGCCAGACUUUGUAUCUCGAGAUGCUUUCUUUAUCUUAACGUAGAAGAGACAAGCUUUUUCUAUUCUUAAAAUUAUCACUUUAGUCACAUUUAGCUUAGACGCAGCCACUCUUCUCUUCUUGUCUACUUGGAAGGGAGGAUUAUAUCGCGCAGAGGUGGGCUGUUUGAGGAAAAUACCUUUCCAGAUAACCAUUCACAAGAAUAUAAAUGCUUGUGGAGCAGAUAGGAAAGGAACUUAGUUCGUUCAGCGUGAAAUUUCAUUUGAUUGAUGUAAUUAAUACAGAUUUUAAUUGCGAUUGGACAAACA